rnacentral:lncRNA from 1 species
CUCACAUCCGUGCUGGACAUAGUUAGGGACCAUUUUCUCUAAAGUUACAGAACAAUUUAAAAAAUUCUGGGUUUCUGUUGUCACCAGGAUCACUCUUUCAAUUCUAGUCCUUUUCAAGGUGCAUAUGACACUAACAUUGUGGACAGUUGGAGGGAGGGCGGGGGGCAUCUCAAGAAUCAAAUGAGAGAACCAAGACUAACCAAUGUUCGGCUGGCCUGGUGGCAUAGUGGUUGGGUUCACGAGCUCGCUUUGGCGGCCUGGGGUUCACCGGUUCGGAUCCCGGGUACAGACCUACACACUGCUUAUGAAGCUAUGCUGUGGCAGGCAUCCCACAUAUAAAAUAAAGGAAGAUGGACACAGAUGUUAGCUCAGGGCCGAUUGUCCUCAGCAAAAAUAGGAGGAUUGGCGGCGGAUGAUAGCUCAGGGCUAAUCUUUCUCAAAAGGAAAAAAAAAAAAGAAUAAACAAUGUUCUUAAUAACAUGGGAUAUGGACUGAAAAAGUUAGCAGGAAUACAUUCAAAUUUUCUAUCUAAUUCAAGCAGUAAGGAGUGCUUCCUUCAAAUAAAUUCACAUGAAAAUAAAUAGGACCUGAAUGCAAUAUAAUCCAAACAUAUGAUGUGAUUAAGUGAGAAAAAGAUGCAGACACAGACUGUGUUGACAGAGGAGAGGUGGACUCAAGAGAGAACAGUUUCAUUGUAUUCUGCUGGCAUCCUCUGCUCCCAGUCUUUGUAACAUUCUUUAGGGGAUUUUGACGAAUGCAGGCACAUUCUGGGGACAGUGACUGCAAUGGGGCAGGUUCGGGGACCAGUCAGGUCAAGAGUUGCCACAGGAUUUGAGGUUGUUAUUCUUAAAAUAUGUAAAGGAUGUCACGUGGAAAAAUAACUUGAUUUAUUCUGCAAAUCUCUAGGGAAUAUACCAAAACCAUUAAGCAGGAAAUCAUGAAAUAUUUAUUAGUUGUCUCUUGCUAGGUGGAGUGCCAGAUGCCCGGGAAAGAGGAGGAAUAAGACAGACACAGCCCCUGCAUUCAAAGAGGGAGAGGUUGUGAAACCUAGAAGAAAAUGAGCCUUUGGAGUCGGGCUGAAGAGCUUCCAGUCGUGCCUUAUCAAUGGGCAGCAGCGUGAACUUGUAUGAAUCACCCAACCUCGCUGAGCCUGAGUGAACCCAGCUGGACAAUAUUCAGAGUCAAACGUUACCAUCACAUGUUGGGGAUUUUCCCUCGGGUAAACUAAAGCUUUGAGCACGUCCUAACGUCAUUCUGAAAGAAGGGACGCUCCUCGGAGCCUCGUGGAGGUUUUGCUUAUUCUUUGGCGCCUCAACAUAGACAAGCUCAGACUCCUCCUCGCUUUAUUGGCAACAAUAACAACAAAUUUCUCCAUUCACAUGAAGCGUUUAUUAGGUAGUAAGCAGAUGUUACCGAGGAGACCAAAACAACAACUGGGUGUAUGUGUGUCUGGGAAAUUGGAUGAAAUGAAAAGGUUUACAUCCUGACAAGUCAACGUCAAAUGAAACAACAGAUGAUCAAUAUGCCCUGUUACCUCACCACCUGUAACCUCACUCACUGCCCCUCUCUGUUUUUCUGGCCUUUCUCAUUUUUCCUGUUUCUUCGGCAUUUACAGCCAUCACUUCUUUUGAAGAGCUAUUACAGCAACUUUCUGCCCUUUCUUAGAUGGAACAUCUUUCUCCUCCCAAAUUCUUCCUUCCCAAUUCCCUUAGAUUCUAAUCUACCCUAAGGAAAAUGCUGACUUUUUAUCAGAUAUACUAUAAUUAUGAUAAGGAAACAAUGAAAUGGUAAACACAAAGACCGCCUAAGAAAAAGGGCACAUAUUUAUUGCAAGUGAUGAAAAUAAUGCAAACUAAAAUAAGACUUUCAUCCAGAAAAGCAUAUAAAAUCCAGGUAAGGAAUGCAGUCUUUCCCAUUCUCUGGAAAGCUCCUCCUGAACCAAAGGAGAAAGUUCUUUCCCUUUCUGCUCUCUUUCACUUAACUAUAGGGACUAUUUAGUGUUUUUCUUCCUAAGUCCUAUAUUCCCAUACACAGUAAUAGUGAGCACUGUUGUUUGAGCUUAUUAAUAGAUUGAACGACAUGUUCAUUCAUUCAGCAAACAGACAUGUUUAUCUGAAAUGGAGAUGCAAAAAUAAAUCAGACAUUUUGCCUUCAAAGGCAUUACAGUCCAAUGAUUAUCAUUUAAAUAAAUUAUACGUGUUGUCAGUAUUAUGAUAAGCCUGUGUUUUGAGUAGAGAGGGACCACACAAGAGGGUCUGGACAGUUUUUCACUGACAAU